CAGCAGCCGCGGGAAUACGUAGGGUGCAAGCGUUAAUCGGAAUUACUGGGCGUAAAGCGUGCGCAGGCGGUUGUGUAAGACAGGUGUGAAAUCCCCGGGCUUAACCUGGGAGUUGCAUUUGUGACUGCACGACUAGAGUGUGUCAGAGGGGGGUGGAAUUCCACAUGUAGCAGUGAAAUGCGUAGAUAUGUGGAGGAACACCAAUGGCGAAGGCAGCCCCCUGGGAUAACACUGACGCUCAUGCACGAAAGCGUGGGGAGCAAACAGGAUUAGAUACCCGCGUAGUCCCUGUCUCUUAUAU
rnacentral:rRNA from 1 species